rnacentral:rRNA from 1 species
AUGCACGCUGGCGGCGUGCCUAAUACAUGCAAGUCGCGCUAACAGACGAGGAGCUUGCUCCUCUGACGUUAGCGGCGGACGGGUGAGUAACACGUGGAUAACCUACCUAUAAGACUGGGAUAACUUCGGGAAACCGGAGCUAAUACCGGAUAAUAUAUUGAACCGCAUGGUUCAAUAGUGAAAGACGGUUUUGCUGUCACUUAUAGAUGGAUCCGCGCCGCAUUAGCUAGUUGGUAAGGUAACGGCUUACCAAGGCGACGAUGCGUAGCCGACCUGAGAGGGUGAUCGGCCACACUGGAACUGAGACACGGUCCAGACUCCUACGGGAGGCAGCAGUAGGGAAUCUUCCGCAAUGGGCGAAAGCCUGACGGAGCAACGCCGCGUGAGUGAUGAAGGUCUUCGGAUCGUAAAACUCUGUUAUUAGGGAAGAACAAAUGUGUAAGUAACUAUGCACGUCUUGACGGUACCUAAUCAGAAAGCCACGGCUAACUACGUG